UGAGUCGCGCUCCAGGUGUGGACGGAGCCGGAACCUCCCCGGGGCGCGCGCUGAGUUCACAGGGCCCAAGUCCCGGGCCUUCAGGUCUUGACCGAGCCCAUCCCCGGCCCUCUGUGCCCACGCCUGAGUUUUUGUCUGUAGGAGUUUCAGCAGUUCGCUAAGGCAUCCAACUCUGCAUCAGAGCAGCUGUCUUUCACUGCACUCUGCGACUCCCUUGAGCUCCUCCCUGCGCAAGAUCCGAGAACCCUCUCUUGGAGUCUGGACUGGACCCCUUUCUCCAGCAGCAUUGGGUUCCUCAGAUUCACACUCACAGCAUGCUGAGGCCUGUCUUACAAAGAACGAACUGAGGCUUAGAAAGAUGAAACCAAAACCUCCUCAGUCACGUGGCUGAAAAUCAUUGACUCCACCUGUGACCUGGACAUCUCCCACCUCCAUCCCUGCAGUUGUGUCACCUUUCUGGACCAAACCACUGGACACCUUACACGUAUCGACUGGCAACGUGUACACCUCCACACACUGCUAAAUGACAAAGCCGAAUUUUGAAAUACGAUGCCGUGAGGUGUUUGGAGAAGACACAACUGAAAAGAUGUCAUGGAGGUGGCAGGGGAUCGUCUUGCCCUUUUCUUUUUUUCUGCCUGUAACUUCUGUCCCCCUAAAAUGUAUAAAAUCAAGCUGGAAUCCAACCACCUUAUGCACCCGUUCUUAGGACCUCCUGGGGUUGUGUUACCAAUCAUGGUCCUCAUAUUUGGCUCAGAAUAAAUCUCAUCAAAUAUUUUACAAAUUUGACUCUUUUUGUUGACAAGUCUGUCGCACCGUUUUUUAAUAAGGGCCGUGUGUAAUGUUUUCUUUAGCAACUGUGGCAAAAUUAAACCUUCUUCGAAAUAAAGAGAAAAAGAACUCAUUAUAGAAAACCGUCUUUCUGCUGAUGUGGGCAUUCACUGUGUUCAUUUCUUUUUCCAAAAAGUGUAUCUUUCUUAAAAACUGAAAAAUAUUGAGCCACAAAACACAGUGCCGAUGGCUUGCAUGCGGGACACUCGGGAUAUCGUACUAAAGGGCUCUGAUGCUGUCUUGAUGAUCUCUACGCAGGGUGUUACUUCUGCUGGCUGUGUGACCUUGGAGAGGUUGCUUAACCUCUCUGAGCCACAAGUGUAAAAGGAUGAGAUUGGUCCCUAAAGUCUCCUCCAGCAUUAAAGCUAGAUGAUCCUGAAUCUUCUGCUGUUUGAGGAUCAGACAAACAACAGUGGACAGGGUUAUUCCUGUUGAAAAUGAUAACCCUGAGAUAAUGGCCAUAAUUAUCUUGGUACCCAAAGAAGCCUUAAAUCCUCAUUGGAUGAAGACAUUGCCAUAAUAACCAGCCUUUAAAAAGUGCCCAUAACAACCAGCCUUUAAAAAGUGCCCAG